UUGUUCUUAAUCUUCAACAUCCAUCAUGGAAAACAUUGCAGCCAAUUAUAUUUAUUAUUUACUGAGCUCCAAGUCCGUAUUCUGAAUUUUUCUCUGAAUUCUCUGAGUUUUUAUCAUGUGUAGUCUUUAAAUCAGACAAAGUACUUAUUGUAGGGGAUUUUAAUAUCCAUGUGGACGUUGACAGCAAUAGCCUUAGUACUGCUUUCAUUUCAUUAUUGGUUUCAAUCUGUUCCAGUCAGAGU